GGUGAACGCUGGCGGCGUGCUUAAGACAUGCAAGUCGAACGCAGUCUUCGGACUGAGUGGCGCACGGGUGAGUAACACGUAACUGACCUACCCCCAAGUCGCGGAUAACUGGCCGAAAGGUCAGCUAAUACGUGAUGUGAUGCCCCCUUUCUGGGGGGCCCUUAAAGGUUUACUGCUUGGGGAUGGGGUUGCGUUCCAUCAGCUAGUUGGCGGGGUAAAGGCCCACCAAGGCAACGACGGAUAGCCGGCCGGAGCGGGUGGCCGGCCACAGGGGCACUGUGCCACGGGUCCCACUCCGACGGGAGGUAGCAGUUAUGAAUCUUCCACAAUGGGCUAAAGCCUGAUGGGUCGACGCCGCGUGGGGGAUGAAGGUUCUCGGAUCGUAAACCUCUGAAUCGGGGACGAAAGACGCGUAAGCGGGAUGACGGUACCUCAGUAAUAGCACCGGCUAGCUCCGUGCCAGCAGCCGCCGUAA
rnacentral:rRNA from 1 species